rnacentral:rRNA from 1 species
GACGAACGCUGGCGGCGUGCUUAACACAUGCAAGUCGAACGGAAAGGCCCUGCUUUUGUGGGGUGCUCGAGUGGCGAACGGGUGAGUAACACGUGAGUAACCUGCCCUUGACUGUGGGAUAACUUCAGGAAACUGGGGCUAAUACCGGAUAGGAGCUCCUGCUGCAUGGGGGGGGUUGGAAAGUUUCGGCGGUUGGGGAUGGACUCGCGGCUUAUCAGCUGGUUGGUGGGGUAGUGGCUUACCAAGGCUUUGACGGGUAGCCCGCCUGAGAGGGUGACCGGCCACAUGGGGACUGAGAGACGGACCAGACUCCUACGGGCGGCAGCAGUCGGGAAUCUUGCACAAUGGGCCGACGCCUGAUGCAGCAACGCCGCGUGCGGGAUGACGGGCUUCGGGUUGUAAACCGCUGUCGCCUGUGACGAAGCCUGAGUGACGGUAAUGGGUAAAGAAGCACCGGCUAACUACGUG